rnacentral:miRNA from 1 species
UGCAGUUUGCAGUUGUGGCAC